rnacentral:rRNA from 1 species
UACGGGGUGCAGCAGGCGCGAAACCUCUGCAAUAGGCGAAAGCCUGACAGGGUUACUCUGAGUGAUUUCCGUUAAGGAGAUCUUUUGGCACCUCUAAAAAUGGUGCAGAAUAAGGGGUGGGCAAGUCUGGUGUCAGCCGCCGCGGUAAUACCAGCACCCCGAGUGGUCGGGACGUUUAUUGGGCCUAAAGCAUCCGUAGCCGGUUCUACAAGUCUUCCGUUAAAUCCAACUGCUUAACAGGUGGGCUGCGGAAGAUACUAUAGAGCUAGGAGGCGGGAGAGGCAAGCGGUACUCGAUGGGUAGGGGUAAAAUCCGUUGAUCCAUUGAAGACCACCAGUGGCGAAGGCGGCUUGCCAGAACGCGCUCGACGGUGAGGGAUGAAAGCUGGGGGAGCAAACCGGAUUAGAUACCCGGGUAGUCCCAGCUGUAAACGAUGCAGACUCGGUGAUGAGUUGGCUUAUUGCUAACUCAGUGCCGCAGGGAAGCCGUUAAGUUUGCCGCCUGGGGAGUACGGUCGCAAGACUGAAACUCAAAGGAAUUGGCGGGGGAGCAC